rnacentral:rRNA from 1 species
AGUGAACGCUGGCGGUAGGCCUAACACAUGCAAGUCGAACGGCAGCACAGUAAGAGCUUGCUCUUACGGGUGGCGAGUGGCGGACGGGUGAGGAAUACAUCGGAAUCUACUUUUUCGGGGGGGAUAACGUAGGGAAACUUACGCUAAUACCGCAUACGACCUACGGGUGAAAGCAGGGGAUCUUCGGACCUUGCGCGAUUGAAUGAGCCGAUGUCGGAUUAGCUAGUUGGCGGGGUAAAGGCCCACCAAGGCGACGAUCCGUAGCUGGUCUGAGAGGAUGAUCAGCCACACUGGAACUGAGACACGGUCCAGACUCCUACGGGAGGCAGCAGUGGGGAAUAUUGGACAAUGGGCGCAAGCCUGAUCCAGCCAUACCGCGUGGGUGAAGAAGGCCUUCGGGUUGUAAAGCCCUUUUGUUGGGAAAGAAAAGCAGCAGAUUAAUACCCCGCUGUUCUGACGGUACCCAAAGAAUAAGCACCGGCUAACUUCGUG